CAACCACAGCCUGACCUAGAAGGGCAGACAGAUAAUGGGGCCUUCCAGCCCCUGGCCCCAGAGAGGGAGGGGCUUCCUGACAGGAAAUUGUCCUCCUCCAACCCCCCCCCCCUCAGAUCCAAGCUCUCAGCAUUCCUAGCCCAAGUAGUCUGGGGACUGGACAGCAAGAAGGACAGAAGGACAGGCACAGACGGAAGGUGCCAGUCUGUCAAAAAUGCCAAUCCUGAAGAGCCUGGGGGUGGGCGACCCUAAGGUGCCGAGAGCAGGGACUCUGCCCCUGCGGUCCUCUCGCAACCCCUUUGAAGAGACUCCAACGCUGGAAGAAGAGGAUGGGGAACUGGGGACACUCCCCAAUGGGACAUCGUGCCGCCGCCGGGCCACACUGGAGAAGCUGGCUGGUCUGGCCCCCUUCCGGCUGGGCUGGACUUCAGGCCGGCGGGCAGGCAGCCCCGGGGACCGGCAAGUCCGCUCUUUCUUGGGCCGCGUGCUGGCACCGGGCAUACGGAGGAGCUCAGCAGAUUUCGGCCUCUUAAACCGGCUUCAGGGGUUCCGAACCCAUGGCGACGAGGAGCCAGCUGGGGAAGCCGCUCGAAGACUGGCUUUCCUGAGACUCGGACGUGGGCCCAAGCCCAGGCGGGCAUCCCUGGCAGAAAGACUGGUGCCUGCAGGCGAGGCAGCCCCUGAGCCCCCACCCAAAGUCCCGGAGCCGCCCAAAAUAAAAGAACCACUGUCAGUGCUGGAGAUCCUGGGCCUGAUCCAGAGGCGCGAGCUGGCGCGAGCGGACGAGCACAUCCUGGAGCUGGAGGCGGAGGCGCCCGCGGAGGCUGAGGCGGGCGCGGGGCGGCGCGCGCGGGACGUGGCGCUGCUGUACGAGGC
rnacentral:lncRNA from 1 species